GAACCGAUAGCACAGUUGGGAGAGCAAUCACCCGGCAAUCGAGAUGUCGUGGGUUCAAUUCCCACUCGAUUCG
rnacentral:tRNA from 1 species